UGGGUGAAACGUUAGCCAAAAUGUUGUCCGACUGGCAGUCAUCUUUUUAUUUAAUUUCAUCUUCGCCAUGUGACUUUGUGACUGUCUAGUAUCGAUAUCAGAGCGUUAGUAUCUGAUUUGUCAAGAAAAAGUGAAAGAUUUGAUGGAGAACUAGAGACAAUGGUGGCGAAAUAAUGGCACGCAGUGAAGGGACCAAAAACGUGAAAAUUGCCAGAGGCUUUCGUGGGAGUUCGUCGUGAAAAGAAUUUUCGUCAAAAUAAAUAAGCAGAGGAGACAUCCACCUGUCCGCCCACGCCGCUCAACUUUAUUGGACAAUCAAAAUGCGCGCCAACGCCAUCGAGGAUCUUCUUAAAGUUCUCGACAGCAACGCCGGUCAGUCGCUUGUGCUCGAUCCGCUCAAUGCCGGCGAUGGUGUCGCCGCUGGAAUGCCUGAUCGUCCUGCUCGUCUGAUUCUCGGCAGAAGCCACACUGAGUCGCCCCAUGUUGUUUUUGCCGUGCUGCUGUUGGUGGUGAAAGCCGAGGGCCGCCUGCUGGUCACGCUGCUGCUCCCGGGGGUCUUGACAGCGCGUGCAAAACACACAAACCAGUGUGUUGCGAAAGGCUUCCCGGAAAUCCUUAUUGAAGUAGGCGUAGAUAAGCGGAUUGAGGGUCGAAUUGAAAUAGCCGAUCCAGAAGAGGACUUCAACGACGAUGUCGGGACAGUAGCAGAGGUCACCACACAAGGUGACGGACAUAUACCAGCUGAAGAACGGCAACCAGCACAGCACGAAAGCCCCCAUAAUGAUGCCCAGCGUCCGGGCCGCCUUGUGCUCUCGUCUGAUCUUCUGCAGGUGUUUGCUGUCUUUGCUGAUGGUCGGUGUGUUGCUGCACGUGUCGUCUCGACACUGGUACCGACAUGUGUCCGACGAUCCUUCCAGCAAAGCGCUCCGAUCACCCGCGCUGAUCCUCUUGUUUUCCGGCUGGGGUGGCGGCGGUGAAGAAGAAAUCGAAGUGGAAAUUUGUGCACUGCCGUUUUGUUGCGGCGAUUUGCCGUUUGUUUCCAGCAAGACAUCCGGUUUGGUCACCUGGAUAGCCGGCAAAACAAUCACCGUAUUGUUGGGUCCGUUAACAGCCGAAUUUACGACUGCAGUGGCCGCCGUCGAGACGGGAUCCUGAUUAAUCUGCUGCUGUUGCAUGUGGUGGAUUUGGUGCUGCUCCAUCUCGGCACUGCGACGCUGGUUUUGCUGGCGAAACAACAGGGCGGCGUCGGCGUUCUUGAGCAGCAUCUUUUCCUGUCUAGAGGCCAUUUCGUAGAUGCGGUAAUACGUGUAAAGCAUAAUGGCGCAGGGAAUCCAGAAGGAGAUGCUGGAGGAGAUGAGGGCGUAAACUUUGUUGACGACGAAUCGACAAGUGUUGGGAUUCUGCACACGUUUACCAUCCGAGGAAUAUGGGCAGGUAGGAAAUGAGUGCCGGCCAAGUCCAGAUGUUGGCCAGCAUGACGGCCACCUUCUUGCGGGUGAUCUUCAUCGGGUACAUGAGCGGCUGUGAGAUGGCGUAGUAACGGUCAACGCUGAUGCAGCACAGGUGCAGAAUGGAGACGGUGCAGCAGUAGACGUCGAAACUGUUCCAGAUAUCACCUGAUUGACUUACACAUGGCGUAGCCAAAGAUCCAUUGGCCGAAGAUGAUGACGCUGGCGUUAAACCCCAUGGCGACGAGUGCCACCAGGAUGUCGGCCAUGGCCAGCGACACGACAAAGUAAUUGGUGAUGAUGCGCAAUUUGCGGAAGCGCGCUACGCUAAUGAUGACGAGCAGGUUGCCGAAAAUGGAGGCGGCAAUGAUGAGUCCCAUCAGGAAAGUCUUGACGACCAGAGUCAGUGUCAAGAACCAAUCGACGGCAGCGUCGGCGUCGUCGCCAUCGUCGAGACCUCCGCCCAGCUCAGCGUCCAUUAUCGAAUAACUAGUGGCGUCGAACAGCGACGAGCCGUUGUCUAUCAACGCAGACAAUUCCGUAUUAACGUCCAUGGCCAUCCCGACCGCUCCUAUUGGUAGGAGACCUAUAAAUAGAUAAAGAAAAAGCAAUCAAUUGAAAAUCCCGAUCGAAACGAUAUCAACGGCAAAUGCACAACAGACAGAAAUAGAUCUAGAAAUUGGUCCUGAUGUAAUUUUCUGUUAGUCAAAAAUACAAAAAGACGUUUUCAAAGAAA